UACGUAGGGGGCUAGCGUUGUCCGGAAUCAUUGGGCGUAAAGAGCGUGUAGGCGGCUAUACAGGUCCGCUGUGAAAACUCGAGGCUCAACCUCGAGCUGUCGGUGGAAACCAUCUGGCUAGAGUCCGGAAGAGGAGAGUGGAAUUCCUGGUGUAGCGGUGAAAUGCGCAGAUAUCAGGAAGAACAUCCGUGGCGAAGGCGGCUCUCUGGGACGGUACUGACGCUGAGACGCGAAAGCGUGGGGAGCGAACAGG
rnacentral:rRNA from 1 species